UUUCCAAGGCAGCGAAUCGGUUGUGGA
rnacentral:sRNA from 1 species